rnacentral:rRNA from 1 species
GAUGAACGCUAGCUACAGGCUUAACACAUGCAAGUCGAGGGGAAACGACAUCGAAAGCUUGCUUUUGAUGGGCGUCGACCGGCGCACGGGUGAGUAACGCGUAUCCAACCUGCCCAUCACUUGGGAAUAACCUUGCGAAAGUAAGACUAAUACCCAAUGACAUCCCACGAAGACAUCUGAAUGGGAUUAAAGAUUUAUCGGUGAUGGAUGGGGAUGCGUCUGAUUAGCUUGUUGGCGGGGUAACGGCCCACCAAGGCAACGAUCAGUAGGGGUUCUGAGAGGACGGUCCCCCACAUUGGAACUGAGACACGGUCCAAACUCCUACGGGAGGCAGCAGUGAGGAAUAUUGGUCAAUGGGCGAGAGCCUGAACCCGCCAAGUAGCGUGCAGGAUGACGGCCCUAUGGGUUGUAAACUGCUUUUAUAAGGGAAUAAAGUGGGUCUCGUGAGACUUUUUGCAUGUACCUUAUGAAUAAGGACCGGCUAAUUCCGUG